rnacentral:tRNA from 4 species
GUAUCCGUAGCUCAGUUGGAAGAGUGUCAGUUUCCGAAGCUGAAGGUCGCUGGUUCGAACCCAGUCGGGUACGCCA